UGAGGAAUAUUGGUCAAUGGUCGGGAGACUGAACCAGCCAAGCCGCGUGAGGGAUGAAGGUACAGAGUAUCGUAAACCUCUUUUGUCAGGGAACAAAAGGCGCCGCGCGUGGCGCUCCGAGUGUACCUGAAGAAAAAGCAUCGGCUAACUCCGUGCCAGCAGCCGCGGUAAUACGGAGGAUGCGAGCGUUAUCCGGAUUUAUUGGGUUUAAAGGGUGCGUAGGCGGCGAGUUAAGUCAGCGGUAAAAGCCCGGGGCUCAACCCCGGCCCGCCGUUGAAACUGGCUUGCUUGAGUUGGAGAGAAGUAGGCGGAAUGCGCGGUGUAGCGGCGAAAUGCUUAGAUAUCGCGCAGAACUCCGAUUGCGAAGGCAGCCUACCGGCUCCAGACUGACGCUGAGGCACGAAAGUGUGGGUAUCGAACAGGAUUAGAUACC
rnacentral:rRNA from 1 species